UAUGGCGACCGGCGCACGGGUGAGUAACACGUAUCCAACCUGCCGAUGACUCGGGGAUAGCCUUUCGAAAGAAAGAUUAAUACCCGAUGGCAUAGUUCUUCCGCAUGGUAGAACUAUUAAAGAAUUUCGGUCAUCGAUGGGGAUGCGUUCCAUUAGGUAGUAGGCGGGGUAACGGCCCACCUAGUCUUCGAUGGAUAGGGGUUCUGAGAGGAAGGUCCCCCACAUUGGAACUGAGACACGGUCCAA
rnacentral:rRNA from 1 species